rnacentral:RNase_P_RNA from 1 species
CCAGCCGGCCGGACGGCCGCUCCGGCAAGUGCCGAAAGGCCGCCGGGGAGGAAAGUCCGGGCUCCACGGAAACACGGUGCCGGGUAACACCCGGCGGGGGUGACCCCAGGGAUAGUGCCACAGAAAGCAAACCGCCGGCGCGUGCGCCGGUAAGGGUGAAAGGGUGGGGUAAGAGCCCACCGCGGACCCGGCAACGGGGACGGCAUGGUAAACCCCACCGGGAGCAAGACCGAAUAGGGGCGGCGCGAGGGCAACCUCGGCCUGUUUCCGGGCUAUGCCGCCCGGGUUGGUCGCGCGAGGCGUCCGGUAACGGGCGUCCCAGAGGAAUGGCCGUCACGCGGGCGGGUUCGCCCGUCCGCCUUACAGAACCCGGCUUACAGGCCGGCUGGCGCA